rnacentral:rRNA from 1 species
AGAGUUUGAUCCUGGCUCAGGAUGAACGCUAGCUACAGGCUUAACACAUGCAAGUCGAGGGGCAGCAUCAUCAAAGCUUGCUUUGAUGGAUGGCGACCGGCGCACGGGUGAGUAACACGUAUCCAACCUGCCGACAACACUGGGAUAGCCUUUCGAAAGAAAGAUUAAUACCGGAUGGCAUAGUUUUCCCGCAUGGGAUAAUUAUUAAAGAAUUUCGGUUGUCGAUGGGGAUGCGUUCCAUUAGGCAGUUGGCGGGGUAACGGCCCACCAAACCAACGAUGGAUAGGGGUUCUGAGAGGAAGGUCCCCCACAUUGGAACUGAGACACGGUCCAAACUCCUACGGGAGGCAGCAGUGAGGAAUAUUGGUCAAUGGACGAGAGUCUGAACCAGCCAAGUAGCGUGAAGGAUGACUGCCCUAUGGGUUGUAAACUUCUUUUAUACGGGAAUAAAGUUAGCCACGUGUGGCUUUUUGUAUGUACCGUAUGAAUAAGGAUCGGCUAACUCCGUGCCAGCAGCCGCGGUAAUACGGAGGAUCCGAGCGUUAUCCGGAUUUAUUGGGUUUAAAGGGAGCGUAGGCGGGUUGUUAAGUCAGUUGUGAAAGUUUGCGGCUCAACCGUAAAAUUGCAGUUGAUACUGGCGACCUUGAGUGCAACAGAGGUAGGCGGAAUUCGUGGUGUAGCGGUGAAAUGCUUAGAUAUCACGAAGAACUCCGAUUGCGAAGGCAGCUUACUGGACUGUAACUGACGCUGAUGCUCGAAAGUGUGGGUAUCAAACAGGAUUAGAUACCCUGGUAGUCCACACAGUAAACGAUGAAUACUCGCUGUUGGCGAUACACAGUCAGCGGCCAAGCGAAAGCAUUAAGUAUUCCACCUGGGGAGUACGCCGGCAACGGUGAAACUCAAAGGAAUUGACGGGGGCCCGCACAAGCGGAGGAACAUGUGGUUUAAUUCGAUGAUACGCGAGGAACCUUACCCGGGCUUAAAUUGCAGCGGAAUGUAGUGGAAACAUUACAGCCUUCGGGCCGCUGUGAAGGUGCUGCAUGGUUGUCGUCAGCUCGUGCCGUGAGGUGUCGGCUUAAGUGCCAUAACGAGCGCAACCCUUAUCUAUAGUUACUAUCAGGUCAUGCUGAGGACUCUAUGGAGACUGCCGUCGUAAGAUGUGAGGAAGGUGGGGAUGACGUCAAAUCAGCACGGCCCUUACGUCCGGGGCUACACACGUGUUACAAUGGGGGGUACAGAAGGCAGCUACCUGGCGACAGGAUGCUAAUCCCAAAAACCUCUCUCAGUUCGGAUUGGAGUCUGCAACCCGACUCCAUGAAGCUGGAUUCGCUAGUAAUCGCGCAUCAGCCACGGCGCGGUGAAUACGUUCCCGGGCCUUGUACACACCGCCCGUCA